CUAACUCAGGCUUAAAUCAUACAUGAAUGAAACGUGCGGGAAAAGUGACAACGAAAUGCUCGAAAUGAGAUUACGGAAAAGCAAACUAAUUUGCCUAUCACUCUUUAUCUAUUGUAUUUGCCGCAAACCUUAAAGCAAAUGGAGACAGUAUCGUAUCCGAAUUCCAGUUGAAUGUCAAACAAAGUUAUUUGUAGUGAAAUUAAAAUUUACCCAACUUUUCAAUCGCAACUGAGAGCGCUACAAGGUGGAAAAGAAAAUUGACUUUUUCACUCAUUGUUCUGGAUUGUUAUGUCUUCGUUUCGGUUCGUGACUUUCUAAACAACGACGCACAUCUGACGUUUUCUCUUUCCUUUUAUGCUUUUUUUGUUGUUGAAUUUAGAAGUGAAUUUGACGAAAGGAAGAACGUAGUGUAUCAACGGUGUUGCAUACGAAAUGCGACUUACACGAAAUGAAUUCACGAUGAAUUAAUCGGAACGCGCCAUCAGUGUUCCAAAAGCGAUUGAACUUUUGUAAUAAAAAGAAGGGAUAUGUUCAUGUAUUAUAGACUGACUGGCACCUGCUUUUAAUUCGUUCAUACCAAAGCAGAUUAUUUCAUCGUGGAACGAGAGAAUAUGCAGAGAAUUAUGUGUUGUCGAAUGGAAUGUUUGAUAAGCGAUUAGUUUGUUUUUCUGCUAUAAAUGUAUAUAUGUAUGAAUAUUUUGCACUAUUCAUAUUCCCUUUUUAUAUAUUUGAAGAUAAAAAAUCAUAUUCCAAACGACCUGAACAUGAAAAGCAUCUAUUCGAUAUUAUAAUGGUGUAGCGUGUAGUACGGUAUAUACGCGUUAUAUCGACUUUGUGGCAAUCUCGUUUACAAACGUGAACAUGCAUAUUGAAAGGCUGAAUAAAGUGGCACACAUCGGAGCGCCUCACACACCCUUGCCAAAUGCACUGAUUUCCGUUUGCCUACACACGUCUUUUUGCAUUGGUUCGAACUGCUGAAGCUUUGUGCAAUGGCUCGAAAUUCACCAUAUGCCGGGAUAAAAUUCUCCAUAAAAUAGUCGAUCACACGUAUGUUCAUGUGGCGCUAUUUAUUUCUGCUUAAAUAGAUACUGCCGCAAAGCCUGUCCAUAAUCUUCAAACAAUGUAAUGCUUUUUUUCUUAUCCAGAAAGAGUAAUAUUAAAAACAUGAUCAGUAAAUCUAUGGAAUUCUCGUAUUUAAUGGAGAAAAACACACACAGUUGAUGCAAAUAGAAAAGGUUUUGUUACCUCCUCUUCAGCAGCCCACAUCACAAUCCCAAAUGGACGCAAUAUAAUGUAGUUUCCAUUGACUUUUGAUUACAUUAACCAAAGCUAUUUAUAUAUUUUCAUAAAUUUUGCGUUAUUUUAUGCAAAAGCUCUUUGGGCACGAUGAACAUUUUAUUUUGCGUAUUUAUUCCCGUCAACAAAUAGCUUUUAAUUUGAUGAAAUUGCUGCCCACAUACCAAAAUAAGAUGGAAAAUAUUUUUUACUGUCUCGUUUAAAAUGAGUGCUUUAGACCAUUUCAGUUGGAAACAGAGACUCUUGUCAACAUCCACAGCAUCAAAUGCAGUGCUAUAUUCACUCGCCACGUGUUAGAAGACAUCUUUUUCAAAUGUUCAAACCUGACACAAACGAAAAAGCGACCGAAAAAAAAUAGAACAAACAAAAUAAAAUUCCUUUUCACAAAAAGUGGAACAUCUUGAAUGUGCGCUGCAUUAACCCAAACGUGUGAAAUGUAGGUUUUUGUAGGAUGCACGUCGAGAGCUCUUCAAAAUGAACAAUUUUAUUUUCUCUAUAGAAAAAAGGAAAUGGUUUUCACUUUUCCCUAUGGGAGGAUAGGACACACGGCAGCGUCACAUUUACUCAUGAAGAAAUAUUUUUCUCGACAUUUACGAUUCCAUUGAAGUUGGCAAAUAAUAGCUUCGAACCUUUACACUAUGAUUAGAUUUUCAAUUCUGAAUCAACAAUUUAUUUUUGUUGCGGGUCAUGUGACCUGCACAUAGUUUCGAUGCAUUUUACAAAUCAAUUAAUCGUAUGCACAAAAACGGCACGUUUCUAUUGUCAUAAUGAAUAUUUGAAUAAAAUGUUGCUUGUGUAAAUAUGUGUUUACAUCUCAAAUGGAAACUAUCAAUUUUGCGAACGGAAAAUGAACAAAUCAAAGCACUCUGUUUAUUUUCCGAGAAUUGUGUUUAUGCACUUAGUUUUGCACCACCAUGCAAAAAAUAACUCUCUGACAUUUGCAUGCUCUUUCAACGUUCACUUCGUUGUAAAGUGUAUACUGUACCGUUCCGUCCAAUGAAAAAUUUACUAGCUUAAAAUAGAUUUUAGUUUAUUUGAUCAUGGCCUUAAAAGCAUUAGCCUGUUCAUUAGUUUCGAAUCAAUCGGAUGCACCGAUACAUUGAAUCAAAGUGAAGUGGUUUGGAUCAUCGGCGUGGGAUCUAUCGAAUGAGCACAUGUUUUUUUUUGUGAAAAGUCCAAUUUGAUUUAUGGAACAAAUUAAAUUUGGAAUUAUUUCCGGUAUCUGCACUUGAGUAACAGUGUGCCAGCCGUUAGCUCGAAAUGAUUGAAAGGAAGUGGAGUUUUUUUUUCCGAGAACCUUUGACAUUGAUGUACAUGUAGCUAUUAACUGUGCGUGUCUUUUCGUAAAUACGUCGAGGGAAAAAAUGAAGUUAAAAUUACCUUGAAUUUCCAUUGAACUGUGCCUUCGGUACUGUUACGCGAUACGCAGCGCACACACAUUCGCGAUGAAUAAGUUUUAUGAGCUUUUUAAUUUCAUUUUCACCGCGAUAGAAACAAGCAGUGACACAGCGUACACGCUGCGAUCUCGAAAUUGAAUAAAUGAAAUUGGUUCGCAGUAUUUUCACUCCAUGGUUUAUGGCAUAGACCCUAUGCAUUGAUCUCAUAUAUGUACAUAUUAUCUACUAGCGCAACUACCUAUGAAUGUACUUGGGAUCGCAAGUGUACCAUCAUUUCACUUCGGAAUAUAUACGCAAUCACGGUCUAACGUUUCAACGUUGAAGGUUCAAAGUACAAAUUGCAUUGAGUCAUAUACUCCACGUAUCUAGCUGUGUACAAUGGAUUGGACUAAAUGGUUUCGCGUGAUGAAUAAUAAAUGAUAGGUAAAUCAUUGAGGUAUUAGGUGGAUAGUGUUGUCGGAAUUUAAUAUAAACUUUGACUCGGUUUCAUCUAUUCUUAAUGCCAUAGCCAAGCAUGCGUUAAAGCGUGUUUCAAGACCAUGCAAUCGAGAUAUUGCAAUAUGCGAUUUCCUUUUGAACUGAAUCAAUAUUUACAUUGGCAAACUUUUGGCACUGUGCUAGCACCGCUUGUACGAUGAAACUUACAAAAUAUACAAAGUCAUUAAUUCAUUCGACGCUCUAAAUAGAAAAUCCCAACGACUUUUUCCCUUAUAUCUUCACCUCCCUCUCUUUCUCUCUUGUGAGCGUAUAUACAGUGAGUAUAUAUACAGUAACUAAAGCCAUAGUUUGAGUAAAGUUUCGCUUAUUCAUUAAUUCUGGCAGUGAAAAAUGAAUCGUUCGGUGAAUUUGAUCAAGUUGCCAGUUUCAACUCGGGUACAACGAACUGUCUUCGAUAAAAUGAUAAAGCAAAUCUAUUACUCGUUGGAUUUGCACACAAUAAACUUUGCUAAACAAUCGCGAGUCAUGCAUUCCAGUAUUGUUCCUAUUCAUAGUGCCAUCCGAUUGCCUCCAUUGAAACAUACAUCCGUUCAGCCAGACUAGCGCCAAACUAUUAAUGCAAACUAUCGUCGAAAAUAACAUUGCAAUGUGAAAAUAUCACGCAACCAUUUUCGUUGGAAAUAAACCAUAAAACGAAAUUGUCCCAAAAAUUUUCGGUAAUCAAUUCAUUUCAAUUUAACGAAAAGAAUUUAUGAGAGACCAACUGAUUGACACCAUGCAACAGAAUACUCUAUAUGACAAAUGGAUAAAUUUUCGAUUUUCUGUCGCAAUUCAUAUAUGAAAUAAAUUUGCUUAAAGUCUGACAUGUUCGUGGCUCAUUCAAAUGAAAUAAUGAUAAUAAAAAAGCAGCAGCAACUAAAACGAUCGGUCUGAAAGCGACAAUAUUGCAAGCAAACCGACUAUAAUGGAUGCAUUAAGUAUACAUACGUAUAUCAUUCGAGAACAAUGGCAAUACACGCCGUGUAUUACACGGUGAAUUGCAAAUUGUGAAGCAUAUAAACGGGAAACAAUAAAUAGACCAAACCGAAUACAAUACAAAGAUGUGUCAUCAGACCGUAGUUAAAAAAAUCGACAAACACACACACAUAUAUAUAUCAAUGAAGAUUGAAUUUAAAUUACCGCCAACGAGAGGACGACAUAGUGCACAUGUGCCAGUGAUUUGUCAUGCAUACACCCAUCGGAUCACUUAUUAGUCACAGUCACCAUAUGUACAGCUAUUUGAACAAAAGCCACGAUUUUGCAUACAAAUUCAAUGCAUAGCACUCGGGAACAAGCUUAGCGUCCGUUUUGUUUACGAGGAUUACUGCCAGAUAAUUAACACUUGUUUUCAAUUAUUUUUAUUCCUCUUAUUUUUGCCAUUGUUUGUAAUAGAUGCAAAUCUGUCAGUUUUGACUGAUGUUAAUACCGAAAAAAUGGGCAAAAAAUUUCUUCUUUCUUUACUUAUAAACAAAUUAUCGUUACAAAAUGCAAUUGAAUCUCGUGAUAUCAAUCAUACGAUGCGAAAGUUGUCAAAUUUGAUUAAAAAAAACAUCUCCCACAAUGGUAUGCGCACUGCGCAGCUAAUCACUCACUUUACAAUUGCAUCAUUCGUUGUAACGAAUUUGCAAACAUCAGUGGAAAUUCAUUCAAUUCUUGUGUAAAUAUUCUUGAAUAUUUAGCGUUCCUUUUGGCGUUGCAUUUCAAAUUGAUAUGCAUUCAAUUAGCAAGUGCAUUGUGCAACGUGUAACGAAUUGCAUUCGAAGAAAAGAACAUUAUCAUUCUUACCGAGAAAUUGAAUCUGGCUCAUUGAGCUCAAUCCAGUGGUUGAAAAUUAAGCGAUUUAAAAAUGUUGAAUUAUUUCAUUGUUCUUCCACGUGUUGAAACGACGAUCAUGUUCUCGAUUAAAAUUUCAAUUAUUAAAACGUGUUCGGUACGCUUGAUCUGGAAGCAGCGCCGAUUGAAGCGUGGGAAAUGUGCACAAAAUCACUUUAUGUGUAUGUUAUAUGUUGUUAUUGUGCACACGAGAUAAUAUCGCGAUAUUUUUACUCGAUGUUGAUCGCAGCCGAACAGACACAAGCACGACGCGCGCCCGAGCUAUGAUUGGCAAUUAUGAAUGGAAACGUGAAAUGAAAUGCGAUACAAGCGAUAAUCAUUCAAGCAAUUUAAGGUCCGUAGGCGUAAAUAAUUUAUUGACGUUAUUGAAUCCGAACGUUAGAGAUAUCGACCGCGUUCUCUAUUGUCAUUUAGCUGUCAUUUAAGUGACUUAGACCUAAUUUUCUGCAUAAUGAUUACCAAGUUCAAAGCAAAACCAUAAACACAACGAAUUUGAUGAUUAAAAUGUCGCCCGGGCGACUCACACACACGAAAACUAAAUUAUAAGAAACGACAUGUCUCCCGGAGAAACAAUGGAUUUUUAUGGCAUUUUAAUUAUGGGAUUUUGGAUGAUUUUGUUCCACAGAUAAAUUCUCAAUUGGAAUCCAAAAAAAAAAAAACAACAACAAACAAACGAAAUUUGUCAUUCGUAAUUUUCAUGUCUUCGAAUACGUUUUCGGUAUCGAUUACAGUUUCGAGACACAAAAAUAGUCUCCUCUGUUUUCAUUUCGUUUUUUAACGUUGUUCAUUCAAUAGAAAAUGUAGUUUAUUGUAUAUUGUGUUUGUUAUUAAAUGAGCUUCGCGUGUGUAUCGCUUGAACAGUAUUGCGUUUUAAUUUUCGAUUUCGAACGAACAAACGAUUUGAACACAGACGCUAUUUCCUACGAAUAGAUAAUUAUUGUGACCUUGAACAUGUUUGUCGAUUCAAAACAUCUGAAACCUGUAAGAUGUAGUGAGCGCACGGGUUAUGGGUUAACCCAACCCAAUCGCAUUUGUAUCAACACGUUCACGAUUGUACUCAUGGUAAACGAAUGAAAUGCAACAAAAAAUGACAAUAUACACAAAAUUGAAUUUACUUAAUUUAGACAAAAUUCGAUAAAAACAUGAGAGUUAGGCGACGACGAUACAAUCAAACAUUCAAUAUUUAGAUUAACCAAAUGAGUCAACAAUGAAAAUGAGAUAGGAAUCGCGACCAAUUAACGCUUUCAACUCAAAUUAGAGCAUAUUGUUUGUUUUCACAAUGAAACCGUGACUGUAAGAAACAAUUUGUACGUAGAAAAUGUUCAGCAAUGCAGUUAAGUAAUUUUGACAUAAAAAUGUUCGGUUUCAAUACGUGCACGUUGCUAGUUCAUUGAACGAAGGAAAUCAACAACACAAAUCGUUUUGACUUCAUUGAAUAUAUGGAAUUUUCGUAUAUAAGCGCUGAAACAGUUCAUUAUCCACAUUACAAAAUGAUAAAACUGAGAUUUUUCGGGUGGGCAUUGUCAUAUACCUCAUCGACAUAUUCAAUCGGAACAUUGUACCAGCAACAGAACACAUCAUCCGUUUCGCAUUGAAAAAAAACAGAAAA